rnacentral:rRNA from 1 species
CNUCUGGCUUAACUGGGGGCUUGCGGUGGGUACGGGCCGGCUUGAGUGCGGUAGGGGAGACUGGAACUCCUGGUGUAGCGGUGGAAUGCGCAGAUAUCAGGAAGAACACCGGUGGCGAAGGCGGGUCUCUGGGCCGUUACUGACGCUGAGGAGCGAAAGCGUGGGGAGCGAACAGGAUUAGAUACCCUGGUAGUNCACGCCGUAAACGUUGGGCACUAGGUGUGGGGGGCCUUUUCCGGNUCUUCCGCGCCGUAGCUAACGCAUUAAGUGCCCCGCCUGGGGAGUACGGCCGCAAGGCUAAAACUCAAAGGAAUUGACGGGGGCCCGCACAAGCGGCGGAGCAUGCGGAUUAAUUCGAUGCAACGCGAAGAACCUUACCAAGGCUUGACAUGUGCCGGUCGGCUCCGGAGACGGGGCUUCCUCCUUGUGGGGCCGGUUCACAGGUGGUGCAUGGUUGUCGUCAGCUCGUGUCGUGAGAUGUUGGGUUAAGUCCCGCAACGAGCGCAACCCUUGUCCCGUGUUGCCAGCACGUUGUGGUGGGGACUCGCGGGAGACUGCCGGGGUCAACUCGGAGGAAGGUGGGGAUGACGUCAAAUCAUCAUGCCCCUUAUGUCUUGGGCUUCACGCAUGCUACAAUGGCCGGUACAGAGGGCUGCGAUACCGUGAGGUGGAGCGAAUCCCUUAAAGCCGGUCUCAGUUCGGAUCGGUGUCUGCAACUCGACACCGUGAAGUUGGAGUCGCUAGUAAUCGCAGAUCAGCAACGCUGCGGUGAAUACGUUCUCGGGCCUUGUACACACCGCCCGUCACGUCAUGAAA